UGGAUGCUGAGAGCUUGCCGUUGGUGUGCCAACCAUCGUUGCUAUAGCAGGUUUCUCCGGCUCACCUUCACUCUUCGGCGGCUCCAUCGUGCUCAUUCCUUUGGAUAUAAAAAUUAUCGAAGGGUACUCUGGUGACCAGGAAUUUCCAUUACCCCAGGGUGAAACGGCUCAAUCUCUUCGAUUCAAGAAAAAUCUUUAACCUGACUAAAGAAAAAAAAAAAUUAAAUCAAAAGAAAAUUGUCUGACCCGGCGAAAUCAACUGCGCAGGAUCAUCCGGAUGUAUAGCACAGCUCGACUGUCGAAAGGAAGGAAGCCUUGGCAGCAGCUCACAUUGAGGGCUGCCGGCUCUCUGACAGGCUCCAUACGAAGCCCUCACCACUUGCGCGCUCUCACUUGCGCCUCAGGAAAAACGCAGUGAAUUCCCUCUCCCCGAUUAUCUACCCUCUACCCGACGCAGUGACGUCUACCCCUUCUCCAGGUACUCCAACGAUUGUCCAACAAAUCGAGCAAUGUCAUUGGCUGACGCGUGCCAAACUCACCCCCUGAGCCACCCUCCUCGCCCCUUUGAUCCUAUUUCAUUGCUACAAAAUUAUUACAUUGGGUUUGUGUCAGUAGAAAAUCGUCAAUAGGUUUUCCGCUGGACGUGGAGACUGGAUGGCUGCCUGGCGAAUGACCCUUUCCACUUGUCCUGUCGGCGUUUUUAAUGAACUCCGGUGAAAUAAUCAAACGCCAAUGCGGUACCCACCGACGUGGACGACGUUUUUUUUUUCACCUGUCUCAUUGGGAGGAUUUGCUUACCUUAUUCAGACGAGGUGUGACUUGAAUUCAUAUUGGGUUUCAGCUCCUGACUAUCAAUAACGCUUGGAUACACUUGGAUAACAGGCCUCUGGUUGUAACGGUCCCCGAUACGUUCGAAGUGAUUUCAAUUUUACAUUAAAUAUUUCAAGCACUUUCGCUGUUGAUUCUCUCCCUUAUUUGUCUUUCUAUUUUCGGGUAAUGAUAGGGAUCAUUAGGGAGGGCGUAAUGGAGUUGUUGCAUGCCAUAAAGCUGGGGAUUUUGGGAGGCGUGACAGUAGUAAAUUUAUUCGUCAUUGAUAUCCGGUGAUGAAAAAAGGUAAAAAUGAACAAACGAAUUUUUAACGAUUCGAUUUUAAUUGAAAAAUAUUUUCCAUUUUCCUUCGAAUUUUUUUAUUCAAUAAAUUAUGGAUCAGUACUCAGUCUUGUUCCCUGAAAUAUUCCCUAAACCGAUCAAUUUCAAUUCAAGUUAUUGCUAAUGUCCAAUGGCAUUUUCCUGUCAUCGAAAUGUCGAAGGAAAUUCCAUCAAUUUUUAUUAAACGCUCCAGGAGUUUAAAUUAAACAAAUCCAAUUUCGAGCUUAAAAAACAUCUUGAAUAACAGUUUUUACAUAAGGGUUGAGGGGGAGAGGGAAUUAAAUCGGUGAAUUUCGCAUGGAAGGGGUGAACGAUUUUGGGUGCAUCAGCAAUGACAUUCCCUGUCUCGAAAGGACUUCGUCCUUCCUAGACGAAUAGAAGUCUUGAUCAGGCAAAGCAGCAGUCACUUCCGUUCUACCCCCACUAGAGUAAUCUGCGACGAUAGUAUUGACCGG